AAGGUGGAAGGAGGGGCCGUGAGGUGAGAGAGUCCGGGAGCCCGAGCCUGAGACCAUCCCAAUCUGGCAAAACAAGCCACAUGGGGCUGCUCGAAGUGUAGUAAGAAGAAUUGGGACCAACCUACCCUUGAAGCCGUGUGCCCGGGCGUCCUUUGAGCUUCGGCUUCAUUAACGCCAGAUUUCUUAUCUCCAGGAAGUUCAAAUGUCUCUUCUCCCUUACCUUGUUUUGGAUCCUCAUUCCACUCUACAACUUCCUUUGUCAUUAGUGACAUCACCGAGGAGACAGAGGUGGAGGUCCCUGAGCUUCCAUCAGUCCCCCUGCUUUGUUCUGCCAGCCCUGAAUGUUGCAAACCAGAACACAAAGCUGCCUGCAGUUCGUCUGAAGAGGAUGACUGCGUCUCUUUGUCCAAGGCCAGCAGCUUUGCAGACAUGAUGGGUAUCCUGAAGGACUUUCACCGAAUGAAACAGAGUCAAGAUCUGAACCGGAGUUUAUUGAAGGAGGAAGACCCUGCUGUGCUUAUCUCUGAGGUCCUAAGGAGGAAGUUUGCUCUAAAGGAAGAAGAUAUCAGUAGAAAAGGAAACUGACAACCCUCAGCUCUGCAAACUCAGUCUCAUGCUCCUGGAAUACCUUCAAUAGCUGCCUUCCUCACCGCAGAUGUUUCUGCCUCUUAAGGAUAGAUCUUCUGCAACAGUCUUGCCGACAAGCUAGAGCUUGGACUGAAAGAGAAGAGCUGGAUUAUAUGUUUCCCAGACUUCAAACCCUAGCAGAAGCUAAGGCUUGUGAUUUGACCUGAGACAUUUGUUUCAGGUAAUCGUGUAGAAUGAAGUAUCUUAGUUUAAAGGGUAAGAGAGAAGUUGUUUCUGGUUUUUCCUUGCCCCUGUGUGAAAAUAGG
rnacentral:sRNA from 1 species